AAUUUAAAAAGAAAAAAUGGAUGAGCUAAUGUCGAAUGAAAGAAAUAAGGAAGUUGUAUUUUUUGAAAAAAAGACUUAUCAAGAAAAGUUGUCUGGGAAUGCAGAUCAAUUGAUAGUUAAAGAUAUUAUAGGUGGAGAUGAAAAAAAUAAGUAAGAUCUUUAUGAUAUUCAUUAACC